ACAGGAGAAGUUCAGGUUAGAUAUAAGGAAGAAGUUUUCCCUGUGAGGGUUCUGAGGUGCUGGCAGAGGGUGCCCAGAGAAGCUGUGGCUGCCCCAUCCCUGGCAGUGUUCAAGGCCAGGUUGGACACAGGGGCUUGGAGCAACCUGCUCUAGUGGAAGGUGUCCCUGCCCAUGGCAGGGGGUUGGAACUGGAUGAGCUUUAUGGUUCUUUCGAACCCAAAACACUUCUGGAUUCUGUAAUGCUGUGAUUAAGUUGCUGUCCCCUCACUCCAUUUCAUAUCAAAUAUAAAGAACAGACAUCAUAGCAUUGGUACUGUUGAUCCUCCUGACAGGUGUUGGGCUGGAAUUACAGUAUUAAGAAGGCAUGGUUUUGUUUUGUUUUAAUGUAUCUGUAAAAUAUGCUAAUAUUUUUAUGGCCUUUAUGCCAGUUCCAAAUUAUUUGAUAUAUUAAUAUGCAAUAAAUUAAAAAGGACACUGU